rnacentral:rRNA from 1 species
UACGAAGGUGGCGAGCGUUGUUCGGAAUCACUGGGCAUAAAGCGCACGUAGGCGGCGGCGUAAGUUGGAUGUGAAAUCCCCCGGCCCAACCGGGGAACUGCGUCCAGUACUGCGUUGCUUGAGGAUCCAAGGGGUGCAUGGAAUUCCCGGUGGAGCGGUGAAAUGCGUUGAUAUCGGGAGGAACUCCGGCGGCGAAAGCGGUGCACUGGUGGAUUACUGACGCUGAGGUGCGAAAGCCAGGGGAGCAAACGGG